CGCCCUUCCUCGCCCCGGGAGGAGCCUCCCUGCCCUGAGACGGCUGUCCCACACAGCCCCAGAUGGCCGCUCCAGUGGUCAGGCCGGGCAGGUGGCCUCCGGAGGUGCCUCGGGUCGGCUGGAGAGGGGGCGACCCACCUCUGGCCUGGGCAGGCAGCGAUGGGGGCCGUGGCCAAGCCCGGGCCCGGGCAGCAUCAGACUCUGGCACGAGGCAAGUACAGGGAGCCUCUGCCAGCCAGGAGAGCAGCUGCGGCUGGUGUCCAGGGGAUGACAGAGGCCCCUUCUCCAGGCCCCCCUGAGGAGAAGGCCACCCCACCUGCAGACACGGGCCAUGUUCAACUCCAGGGAGCUGCUUCUCCUGUGCUUCCUGGCGCCGGCGGUGGGUGGCACUGAGCACGUCUUCCGGCCUGGCCGCAGGGUGUGUGCCACCGGGGCUCCCAGGGGCCCCGAGUCAGAGUCUUUCGUUCAGAGAGUGUACCAGCCUUUCCUCACCACCUGUGAUGGGCACCGAGCCUGCAGCACCUACCGGACCAUCUACAGGACCGCCUACCGCCGCAGCCCUGGGCUGGCUGCCCCCAGGCCUCGCUAUGCCUGCUGCCCCGGCUGGAAGAGGACCAGCGGGCUCCCCAGGGCCUGUGGGGCAGCCAUAUGCCAGCCCCCAUGCCAGAACGGAGGCAGCUGUGUCCAGCCAGGCCGCUGUCACUGCCCUGCGGGAUGGCAGGGCGACACCUGCCAGACAGACGUGGACGAGUGCAGGGCUGGAGGGGGCAUGUGCCCCCAGCACUGUGUCAACACUGCAGGGAGUUAUUGGUGCCAGUGUCGGGAAGGGCACGGCCCAUCUGCAGAUGGUGUGCCCUGCCUGCCCGAGAGGGGGACCCCCAGGGUAGCCCCGAACCCCACAACAGGCACGGACAGCACCGUGGAGGAGGAAGUCCAGAGGCUGCGGUCAAGGGUAGACGUGUUGGAGCAGACGCUCCCUCUGGUGGACAUCCUGGGCCCUGCAGAGCCCUUACUGGCCACAGGGUUCCCUAAAAGCCUUGUGGGACAGAGAGGGUCCCUCGGUCUGGCCCACAGAAGCUGCAGCUGGUGCUGGCCCCACUGCAUAGCCUGGCCUUGAGGGCGCUGGAGCACGGGCUCCCGGACCCUAGCAGCCUGCUGGCUCACUCCUUCCGUCAGCUGGACCGCAUCGACUCCCUGAGUGAGCAGAUCUCCUUCCUGGAGGAGCAGCUGGGGUCCUGUUCCUGCAAGAAGGAGCUGUGAGGCCACCUGGGCCCCCGGCUUGGGCUCCGGAGAGCCUGUGCCCACUGUGCUGGGUUGGGCAGGAGGGGGACUUCAAGCCAAGACAGGGUGGAAGGAGGGGGUCCUCCUAGGUGUGACCCAGCCCCAGCCCGGCCAGCACCAGUGAGCGGGCCCGUGGCUGAGGGGAGGUACGAGGGUUGGGGGCACCUGUAAUCUGGGUCGAAACAGAAUAAAAUGAAGGUUCAGGAGCUGCUGUGUCCUUGGUGGACUCUGGAGGGCAUUCUGAAGCCGAUGGGGGCCACCUGCUGGCUGGCAGGAGGGCCAAGGGGCAGCCUGGGGCACAGGGGGGCUCUCAGCCGCACUGGGCCCUCGUCCUACACAGGCUCUCGGCCCUCCCGCUCCCACAGGGGCUGGAGGCGGUGGCGUCUGUGAAGGUGGGGCUGGCCCUCGGUGAUAAGCUGGUGCCACUCCCCAGCCAGGGGCCGAAGAGCAAAUCCUCCUCCCCCCCACCCUUGGGGUGCCCGCCGCCCCCGGAAAAACUACCGCAGGAUGAUCGUGGGCCUGGCCCCUGGAGGGGGACGCUGCGGGGGGCAGGGAGUGCCCCCUGGAGGAGGUGAGGGCAGCCCCAGCACCGUAGCACCCGGCCUGCCCCGACUGACCACAACUCAGCAGGCGCUUCCAAGAGUUUGUUUAUUAAAAAACGCGGACGGAGUGCAGUGCCUGUGUGGCCGGCUUGCUCCCAAGGCCAGCAGGGCAAGGACCUCCGCUUCGUGGCUCUCCCCGAGGCCCAGGCUGCACAGGACCAGGUGUCUCGCCACACCCCCAGAGUCCCAUUUCUCCCAGAGGCCGGGCCGCCCAGCCGGCCUCCGUGCCCCCCGGGCCCAGGCAGGAGGGUGCAGCUCAGCCCCGCAGCUCAGCCCUGCCUGUCGGCCCCGCCGGACCCCACCCUGCUCCGGCGUCCAGGAGGCACAAGCGUGGGCUUCUUGGGGACAUUCCAGCUGACUAUCCUUUUGGGGGACAUCUGAGGCCGAUGGCAGGAGGCAGCCUCCUAUUAUCUGGGGCCCGAAUAAAAGCGGGGGAACCUCGGGAGCAGGACACUGUGAUAUUUAGCGGCCAGGGCAGGGGAAGAGGUCCCUCCGUUCUCUAGCCAGGCCCCGCCCCCGGCCGGCCCCAUCCUGUCCCCCCGGGUCCUGCCCCACCCCAGGUCUCGGCUACUGGGCUGGCUGGGAACCAGGCCCUGCAGUCGCCCCGUUCUCCUGGGGCGUCUUGGACAAGCGGAGGAAGGUGGUCCUCAUGGCCUGAUGGCAGGUAUCCAUAAGCUUGGGGACAUCGGCGACAGUGAGGCCACUGGUAGGGAUGGCAUCCAGCACUUCCACCUUGAUGGUUCCUGUUGGGGGUGGAGCAGCACCAGUGGCCUGGGGCCCCCACCCGGGCCCCCUGUCCUGGCACCCACACUGCAGCCUGUCCUUGAUCUGAUGCCGCCACCUGAACCCCCGUCCUCCUCCUCCUUGGCCACCUAUGGGCCUCCCAAGGGCCAGGCCGGGGUCUUUCCUGGACACCCUGGUCUCAGGUGGUUGGUUUUUAUUUGACAAUAAUCGACACAAUCCAAGCCACAGCUCCCGAGUAUGCACCCGGUAGGUUCUGACAACUGUAUAUGCCCCUAAAGGCCCACCCGAGGUACAGAACAUUCCUCCCCCAGAAGGUGCCCCCCGCCUCCUCCCGGGCACCCCACAUCCACCAUUCCACUUCCAGCCUCCACCACGAUCGGGGCGGGGGAAGAGCUUAGCUCCUCCCCCUGCUGCCCUUCAUCCUUUGACCCCACCUUCCUACCCAGGCACCAGGUGCCCACAUUCGGGAUCUGGAAGGAAGGGCAGUGGCCCCACGCUCCAUGCUGGUGGGCGUGGGGGACCUGGGAGGCUGCUGCCCGGCCUGGGCCUAACCACCCUCUGCUGGGCUUCCAGAUCCCUUCCUUCCUUCCCUCACCACACGACCGCCGUCGGCCUACGGUAACCACCCAGAAACGGGAACUACACUAGGAGGGGCCUGGAGUCCCAGGGACUGAGGAGGAGACACGCCCGCAGGUGCGCUAGCUGGCGGGGUGGGCACAGGUGGCGGGGUGCUACCUGAGUUGAAGAGCUUCGUCUUGGGGUUGUAGAAGGAGGAGAAGCUGGAGUAUAUCACGGGGAUGAUAGGUACCUGUGGACAGGAAGCCGUGAUGCCUGAGGACACACGGGAGCCCACCCCAGCCCGCCCUGGGCCCCAGGGAUGAGCUAGUGGGGGAGCCCUGCCUUGCCACCCACCUGCCUUCUGCCUAAGGGGGUCCCGGGAGUGCCUGUGGCUGCAGGACAGUCAAGGUGACCUGCCUCAGGGUCCUGCCACGCACUAACCCCCUGGCCUGGGACACCUUUCGUGCCCUCAGUUAAUGAUUAUCCCCAGGGGGCCGGUUCUGACCCUGGUGUCUUCCAGGAAUACCAGCAGGCCCUGCCCCCUCCCCGGCUACAGCUGCCCCCAGCAUUCCAUAAACUCAUCCUGCACAUCAUCACUCAAGCGUCCCCUCCACCAGGAAGCCUUCCUGGGCUGGCACAUGUCCUUGUGAUUCACGUCUGUGCCCCGCUGGGUCCUAAGAUUACCCAGGGGAACAAGGCCCUGUGCAGUUUAGCUGGAGGUUACUAAGCUCCUUCUGUCCACCCCUCCACCAUCCUGGGGAGGCCGGGGGCAGCUGUAGCCGGGGAGCAGACAGCGUCUGCUGGUAUUCCUGGAAGACACCAGGGUCGGAAACGGCCCCUGGGGGUGAUCAUUAACCCUGGCAGUCAGGGAGCCUCUCCCUAGUACCAGCAGGGCUGUGGGCUUGGAACACAGGUAGGCGACAGGCUGGGAGGCCCUGGGGGGAGACAGGGAGGAGGGGAGGGGAGAGGACAAGGAGUGACGUCUAAUCUGCUGGCUGAGGCUGACCACAGCCUCCUCAGUGUCCUCUCUCCUCUCCCACGAGCCUCUCUCCCAUGCCACCAGCAAAGGGAAGGGACAUCAAACCCAGGCAGGGGGCAGGAGUGCUCUCCACCUCCCAGAAGGAGGGGCUGCAGACCCGGGGGUGAGAGCUCAGAGCCCAGGCUCCUCCGCCCCAUUCACUUGCUGCUUCCACCACCACCACCACCACCACCACCCCCUCCGGCCAUGAGCUGGGAGCCUCUGGAAGGAGAGCUCAAUGGCCUUGCUCCGGGCCAGACACCAGGAGGCGCCAGAGGCCACCUGGGCCAGAUGCCGUGCCCAAGAGCAGACCUCUGCCCAGCCACCACCCACACCCUAACUGGGCAGAACGAAAGCCCCUUCCCCUGACCUCAGACGACAGCUUUUCCCUACACGAACUCCUCUAACACAGAACCAAGAGUGGGGCACAGCACCCUUUACCCACCAGGAGGCACUGCCCGGGGAUGCAUGCACCCCCAGUUCUUCGGGCAUCACCCCCGAGCACCUCCCGGGACAAACUGCACCUUGGAGCUCAGGGUCCAGUAAGGUAGAGAGGCCCACUGCAGAGUUUCAGCCCGCUCUGCCCGCCCCGCCCCCCUCAGGCCAGGCUCCUUUGGCCCCAGCCCACAGUUGUGCAGGACUGAGCAAGCAUUCGGCCUUCCCCAGAGAGUCCAGCAAGCAGGCCUGCCACCCCUGCCUCCCCUGGGGGGCCCCUGCCAACUAGCUGCCAAGGGGGGUGCCGAAGCUGGUUGGCGGACCCAAUCAGGCAUCAGCCGUGGUGCUCGGAGCGCUUCCAACAGACCAGAAACCAGGUGCUGGAGGGGCAAGGAGGCCCCACGCCUGCCCAGUGGGAGGAGGUCCCUGAGCCCCAGUGGCCCCAGCCUCGCCAGGCAGCCACCUUCAGCUGUAAGCCAACCUGGACCCCCUCCCUGCCCGGCUAGGAGGGCAGCGCCCUGGAGCACCUGAGUCUGGAUCGCCAGGUAGAAGGCACCUUUCUUGAAAGGCAGCAGGUCCCCAUUGUCAUUCCGCGUGCCCUCAGGGUAGAUCCACACUUUAAGCUGCAAGGAGGAGAGAAGGCAGCUGUAGCCUGGCUGUACCUCCCCGCCCCGGGGGCCCCCUCGCAAGCGCCCCGCUUCUCAGCUGAGGCCACCACCGGGAACGCGCGCGAGCGCCUACGCUCCGCUCCCGACCUUUCCACGCGCCGGCGCGGAUGUGCGGUUCGGCACCUACCGCCGACCCGGAGCGUUUGCACCGCCCAGCAGGCCCCCAGCCGCGCGCGCACGUUCUCCCCGACCACGCGCUCGCCCACGCCGGCCCCGCGCUCACGUUGUCCUUGACCAUGCGCUCGCCCACGUCGGCCAUCACGGUCCUGGCGGUCCUGGACUGCUGUCGGUUGAUGAAGAAGAUACCCCCGAGGUAUAUGACGAGGCCCACGGGCCCCAGGAAGAGCAGCUCCCGCUUGGCGACCUGCACGCAGCGCUCAGGCAGGGCCUCCAUCAGGCCUGCAGGUGGCCACGGGACACCAGGCAGGUGGGGGUCGGGCUCGGAGCCUGGCAGCCACCUCCCCGGGAAGGAGAGCCAGCCCUGUGCCCCGACCACCAACAGGCCUGAGCCGGGUCAUGCCUUGCCACUGGCUACCCGGCCAAGUCCUGUGUUCUCUCGGCCUGUUUCCCGCCUGUAAAGGGAGGGGUGAAGCAGAGCUCCCGGCUGCAGGGAUGAGGGUGGCAGAGCCCCAUACCCAGCGUCAGGCACGCACGCACGGCUUUGUCAUGUGGCUGGAGGGAGGCACGGGUCCCCCUGGCCUGGGUCGGCUCCCCUUGCCCACCAGCUCAUCGGGGCCCAGCCUCCACCUCUCUGAAGCACCCCCCCUCCCCUGCAAAGACCAGGCCGCUGUCCCCGGGCCGAGCCUGCAGCCAGAAAGGGCCAGCUCUCCCACCAGCCCCUCUGCGGCCCUGGCUUACCCAUCAUGUCCAGGAUGCUCUGGUGGUUAGAAAUGAUGACACAGGGGUGGUCAACCUCCAGCUUCUGGAGACCCUUGGUCUCGAAACGAAGGCCUAAUACGUACUUGAACUUCAUGACAAACCAUCUGAUGAUCCUGAGAGAAGACAAUGUCCGUGAGCAGGUCCCCACUGCCCUGCACCCUGUCUUGGGCUCUGGCCUGGAGCCGGGGAAGUUCUGUCGGGAACACCCACAGCAGAGGGAGCCCUGGCUUGCCCUCUCGCGGCUGCUGGCGCGACCCUGAGUUCACUUCCCCUGCAAGAGCCUUCAGAUCCUGUCCCUCAAGGGGUCAGCGAGUGCGGCCCGGUCUCCUGUCACCGUGGCAGGAACAGGGAAGACCAAGGACAGAAAGAAGCGAAGGCUCCGGGGGCUGGACACCUGGCAAAGGGGAGGCCGUCCUCUUCUGCGUCUGCUUUGUGGGGACCUGCCGUGUGGCCCGGCCCUCACCCACACCCCUGCUUGCUCAGCCAGGGGCAGCUGCAAGGGGACUGGAGGCUGAGAGCCCCCGGGGACAGGCUGGGUCUGGUUCUCCGCCGUGUUAGCAAAACCUUACAUGGAGGGGCAACCGCCUGGCUCCGUCGGGGAGCGCGCAACUCUUGAUCUCGGGGUUAUAGGUGCAAGCCCCAUGUUGGGUGUAGAGAUGACUUCUAAAAUCUU